GGGAGGGGGUGGGGGCAAUGACACACUCCGGCUGGCCGACAUGCAUUUCAGGUCUGCAGGGCCUUAACAUCCAGAUACACAUAUGCAUGUGCAUACACGAAUGUACAUGUGUGCACACAUACAUGGAUGCAUGCACAUGCAUGUGUAUCCCAGAAGAGCAACAACACAUCAGCUAAUAAGACAACUUAAGGAGAUGCUCUUCCCCACAAGCACACACACACAUACUCAGAGGCCACUUGGAUGGAGCUCCCUUGGUUCUAAGGACAGCACAAGGCCUGAUCUGCCACCAAGUUGCAGAAGCUACCAUGACAUUCCCUGGGCAGACAACCUCACCAAUGUAUCCUGGAACCUCACCUCUCCAGAGCCCCACCCCACUAGGGAAAGAUAGAAACAGGCUGGGGGUAUGGAUCCACUUGCCAACUCCCAUGUCCAGCAAAGAAGCAAUGUCCACCUUCUGCAUCUUGUAAAGAUCUUUGGUCCAUACCCCCAAAGGGAUAAAGAAUAGGGAACCUUUCAAUGGAGGGAAUAGGACACAGAACUCUGAUGGUGGGGACUGUAUGGAAUUGUACCCCUCUUAUCUUACAAUUUUGCUCAUUAUUAAAUCACUGAUAAAAAAAAUAGUAGAGGGUGAAUGUCCAGCUUCUCGGAACUUUUCCUGCAGCACAGCCCACUCCCUCAGCACUGGAAGCCACCAUAGUUGUCUGGAACUGGAGAGGAAAAC